CCCCUCGCUGUGAUAGCCACACGCCACCCACCUCUCCUCUCUUCCCCCUCUUACAUGAAAACCAUGGAAACCCUAGAUCCCGCCAAUUCGACGCCACCCUGACGGCGUCUGAGAGAACGACCAUUGUGUGGCCGUGGCCAUCGCCCUCCUCCUACGCCGUCUGCAUCUCCGGCUAAUUCUCCAUCGUCGAAUCCGUCGACUACUACUUCUGCAUCGCCAUGGGACACCAAGACAGUGUCGCCGUCUUCCUCUUCUUUAUCUACGCCCGUCACCGCUCCUUCUCAAACUCCCAUCGUCUACAUCCACCUCUCAACCAGUCAAGCGCACUGGCGUGCUUAUGGUGAGCACCCGCUUCCACAAACCCUUCCCCCCUUCCGAUUCACUCCUACAUCGAUGGAUUUGUCUCAAUCCUGAGAGCUCCUCCUCACGGCCAUGUCGCCGGCCACGCUCCGAUGACCUCAGGCUCGUUCCUUUGGCAGUCUCACGUCUGCGCGAGCAUGUAGAGUAGUAUGGCAGCGUUAGUUUUCUUAUUUGCAUGCCAUAGCCACGAUGCCUUGCGCACCCGAGCGCCUCCCCACUCCGGCAAGUUGCCACCGUCGUUUCCAUCGGUGCUUGACGUCACGUUUGGUCGUCGGGGAUGCGGAACUCCACCGUGAACAAAACACACACACACCCACUCCUCUUGAGCAUGGCGGGAUCCAUCUCGACGAGUGCUCCGCCCUGGUUUUGGUCAUUGUCGGCAGAUACUCUGCUUCCUUUGUUUCGAUUCGAACGCGAGCUCAUCUCCAUCGUUGGAUCCCUAGCCAACACAUAGGAUUAGAUUCUCCACGUACUGCUUCGCCCCUUGUCUCGCUGAUGAGUUGGCCCCACUUGUCAGGGCGCGAGUCAACCACUUAAGGCCGCACACUCCUCUAUGUUUCAAACACACUCGUUGCUCAGCUAGUUGUGCCUAGCCAGCUCAAACAUCGGCCGCGGGUUUGAGUCCCGGCCAGCACAAAGCGAGGACCCCUAGGACCCACCUGUCACCCACACACCACAUUGUCCACGCACACUCACAGCCACAUGGCCCCUGGCCCACUAGUCGGUCUCAUUGGCAGCUGGAUUUGGGUGCCCGUAGCCUUUUCUUUUAUUUCCUUUUUGUUUUUGAUUUCUUUUUUGAAUUAAACUAUUUUCUGGAUUCUACUAAUCUCUCCCUAAUAAUAAAGCACGGAUUGGGUCUUCGGGUUCACCGUCGCGGCGCUUUCCCCAAAAAGCCCAUGUGUUUUUGGGAAUUCAACCCGCAAUCCCUUCUUAAGUGGUAAAUUUGACAUAACGUUUCGGUUUUGCAGAAAAGACCCUAUAGUUUGCUAUAUUCAACCCGUGGUCAUUUUAAAGGGACGAGCUCUUUUCCUUUAUGCGUGCUCUGCUCGAUCUAGACGGGCAUGGCGCCGUCGGCGGCGGCAGGUCUUUUUCUCCGGCCAUCCACCGGCCUGUUCUCCUUCCCCUCCCGAUCCGCCCCUAAUACUCUCCGGCGCCACCCGCAGCCUCUUCAAUCUCGAACCUCCUGCACAUGUGCCGUGCUUCUCUGACUUGGAUCAGAGUUGGAUUUUGUGUCCUCAAAUCCAUGGAGUAGCCACCAAAUUCCGUCGAAUCGCCGCGUCAACCUCCCCGCAGCGGCCGCGCCGCCCAGGAACCCCAGCCAUCGCUCCUGCUAGGCCAGGCUCCGCUGCCGAGGUCCCCCAUCGCCAUUUGAUCCCCAAGUGCCUAUCCGCCAUCUCAACGGCCUCACCCAGCGAGCUCGCCUGGACCCUGAGGUCAUUGGAGCGAGCCUCCACCAGGCCACCCGACACGCCAAUGAUCCCGUGUGCUACCGCUCUAAGCUCCCCUGCUCGCUGCCCUCCACGCACCGCCGCCCUGGCCUAGCAGAUUAAUGGAGGGCGCGACCAACUUUGGUUCGUGCCUCGGUGCUCCUCGCCGUUCACCAGCUGCCGCAUCCAACUUCUCCACUAUGGGAGUUCAUUAUGGCAGCGUACAACCACCAAUUAAUAGAGAACAUGGGGGAAGGGAAAGGAGAUGAUGCAGCCGGCGCUAUGUCGAACCAUCGACACGGCAGACGCAGCAUACAAAUGCCCUGUAGGUGGCCGGACCUGGGGAUCUCCAUCAAGGUCGACAACGAGUUGUAGUACUGUGUCCAGCCAACAACUCCUUUUGCUUCUCAGGGGAGGACACUGAUCGUUUGGUUAAAAAAAGGAGUGUGGAAACUCACCAUCCUUUCUGAAACAUUCUCACUCAGUCAAGUGCCAAGGUUCAUGGUCACAAAUGGACAUACUGUUUCAGGCUUAUGACUAAGAAUUAGAAACACAGGCUCAAAUUAAUUAGAUGCUCUAAUUAGAAGGUAUGCACUUGGAGGCAUUACCCGCCUUCUUACUUGGAGGCCUUCCUUGCCUUUUUCCCGUGGCAAACCAUGGCGCUUGAAAAAUAAAAUUAAACAUGCACGGGUCUCAACUUGUAAGUGAUGUGCCGAAACUGCCACUACCUACAACCGUGCCCUCAGGCUUCCCUCGGACCGUCCUUAUCAAUUGUAGUCUCUGCUCUCCCACGUUAAGUCCCUCCUUUUAGAAACAGCUUUUCUCGAUGGUGGCCUCCCCUGGAAGCUCUUGAACCUAUGGUGUGGAGUCGGUUCCCCGUCAGGAGGAAAUGCUUGCGUUAGGUCGUCAGACUGUUAAUUAUAACCAUGUUAUUCUGUCGAGCCUUUCCAUCGAGUUGUCAAAACAAUAUCAAAGUAGAAGAUGUUAAAUAUGAAACUACCAAGUUAUGCACUCUGCUAUUGUGGUUGUGAAGCUCGUACAGUCUGCUUGAUGUUCGCACUAAGUUUCCUUCAGGCAACAAGACGACGAGUUCAAUGCAAGUCUUCAGGCUGUAGGCCUAAUCAUAGGCAAAGAAGUCUGGACUUCCGUGGGUUUUCAUGAACGAUUUUGAGAUGAAGAAUAGUUGUUAAGUUAUUAUUUUUGCUAGAAGAGUAGCAUCGCAAAAGAGUAUUGCUGGAGAAGUAACUGGAGCACAUGCUACUAUUUUUAUAGGAAAGACCCUAAAUGACCCAACUUAUGCAAUCUACAGAUGUUGCUUAUGAAAUCGGUAGAGCCAUGCAUCUGCAAUUAUCUAUUAGCAACAUCAGGUUUGUGUUUGUAUCUCUUCUGCCAUCAUUUCACGAUCAUUAUGUUAUUUCUUUUCUCAUCUCGAAUCCUUUUUGUUAUAGCCAUACAUUCUCUUUUGGUUUAAGAAGAUAAUAAUCCAGUUUCACUAAAUGCAUUUUCUAUAGCAGCAUAUUCUCUAAUAAUUCAAUCAUACUACGUACUGGUCUAUAAUUUCAUUUCUUUGGUCAUUAAUCUAGCUUUUCCCUGAGAUUGUUUCUCAUAGUGAACAACUCAUAAAAAUGAUUUGUAGGAAAUAGACAAGAAUGAUAGGCUACAUACUGAUGUUUUCCGUAACUUCCCUGUAUGGUUCAGGAGAAGCGUAUUGCAAUAGAAGAUUCGAGGGCGAUAACGCGAGGAAGAAAAACUGUCUGUUGUGAGAGAAGAAAUUGUUGCCCCAUAGGCUUUCAGUUUAAAAGUUUCCAUUACAUACAGUUUCACUCUCUGCAUAUGAUACAUUUGUUAUCACUCGGUAUUCUGCUCAAGGGGAACUGAUACUUCUGCAUAUGAGAAUUCUUAUCCUUUUGACUA